AUGAAGAGUCAGAAUUGACUGAAAAUGACUAAACAGACAUGGACUCAGUCUCAUCAUUUGUACAAAUGAGUUGGACAAGGCAGUGGCAUGGUACUGUGGAAGAAACACUGGCCCUGGAAUCUGAGAAUCUGGGUUCAAGAUCCUGCCUCUAACACUUACUACCUGUUGGUGACUAAGGAUGUGGAACAAUACAUAUCAGACUUUUUCAUUGUACCUGGUGGUUUGGCUGAAUUGUUUUUGUUUUGCUUUGUUUUUCUCUUCUUUUUAAAGUUACUUUCUUAUAAGGGAAUGGGGAAGGAUAUAUUGGCAAAUGUCAGUGACAUAAAAAAGUAAAUGAGAUCAAAUUUAAAAAUUUUUUUUAAGUACAGUUAUCCCUUCCACAUCAUGGCUUUUCCCAUGGUGGUUUCAAUAUAUCUCAGGCUGGCAUAAGCAAUUAAAUGGCAGUUUUGGUGGGGGGGGUUUGCAGAAGCUGCAGACAACACAGAAAAGGUUUAGAAACUCAGAAAUGCAUAAAAUAUAUUAUAGUAUUGUAAAAUAUUAACACAUUUUAUCUUUCAAUACCAUAAUAAUUCAGGCUUCUUCUCUGGUAUGAAGGGAGGGCCAAAAUUUUUUGCAUGGAUUUUCCAGAUCAUUGGGGCCCACACCCUUAACCCUCAAAAUGUGGAAGAGAUAACUAGAGUUUUUCUGCCUUCUCUCCGUUACUGGAAAUGGAGCCUUUCCUGAUCCCCACUCCCCCAGCUGUUAGGGAUUUCCCUCAUCUCUGAAAUGACUUUGUAUGCAUUUUGUGGGAAUCUAUAUCCACUAGUAGAAUAUAAACUUCUUGAAGGCAGGAAUUGUUUUGUUUUUCUCUUUAUAUUGCUCUCUCCUAGUACACUGCCUGGCAUACAACAGGAACUUAAUAAAUAUUUAUUGAAUGAAUGAAUGAAUGAAUGCAUUCAUACCAGACUAAUCUCAUUUCCCUUUUUAUGACAGGUUACUAGUCUAGUAGAUAAAGAAAAUAUUGUAGACACUACAUACUUGGACUUUGGCAGGGCAUUUUUCUUAAAGGGAUAAUUGAGAUUUGACCUAUUUACAUUUGUAAAUAUAAAGCCCAUAGAAGAGUAGAAUAUAUUGAGAAAAAAAAAAAACAAAGUGAGGCUGAAUGGUAAAGAAUUGAGGGAGGUCAUGGGAGAGACAAAACUUGGCAGAAGGGAUCGAUUCAGGGUGAUUCAAUAAAUACUCAAUUAUCUAAA